GCCGGGGUGGCGAAAUUGGUAGACGCGCUGGUCUCAAAAACCAGUGAGCGCAAGCUCAUGUGGGUUCGAUUCCCUUCCCCGGCA
rnacentral:tRNA from 1 species